UAGAGUUUGAUCAUGGCUCAGAUUGAACGCUGGCGGCAUGCCUUACACAUGCAAGUCGAACGGCAGCGCGGGAGCAAUCCUGGCGGCGAGUGGCGAACGGGUGAGUAAUACAUCGGAACGUGCCCAAUCGUGGGGGAUAACGCAGCGAAAGCUGUGCUAAUACCGCAUACGAUCUACGGAUGAAAGCAGGGGAUCGCAGGACCUUGCGCGAAUGGAGCGGCCGAUGGCAGAUUAGGUAGUUGGUGAGGUAAAGGCUCACCAAGCCUUCGAUCUGUAGCUGGUCUGAGAGGACGACCAGCCACACUGGGACUGAGACACGGCCCAGACUCCUACGGGAGGCAGCAGUGGGGAAUUUUGGACAAUGGGCGCAAGCCUGAUCCAGCCAUGCCGCGUGCAGGAUGAAGGCCUUCGGGUUGUAAACUGCUUUUGUACGGAACGAAACGGUCUUUUCUAAUAAAGAAGGCUAAUGACGGUACCGUAAGAAUAAGCACCGGCUAACUACGUGCCAGCAGCCGCGGUAAUACGUAGGGUGCAAGCGUUAAUCGGAAUUACUGGGCGUAAAGCGUGCGCAGGCGGUAAUGUAAGACAGUUGU
rnacentral:rRNA from 1 species